rnacentral:rRNA from 1 species
ACAGGGAUUGCCCUAGUAACGGCGAGUGAAGCGGCAACAGCUCAAAUUUGAAAUCUGGCUCUUUCAGAGUCCGAGUUGUAAUUUGCAGAGGGCGCUUUGGCGUUGGCAGCGGUCCAAGUUCCUUGGAACAGGACGUCACAGAGGGUGAGAAUCCCGUACGUGGUCGCUGGCCUUUGCCGUGUAAAGCCCCUUCGACGAGUCGAGUUGUUUGGGAAUGCAGCUCUAAAUGGGAGGUAAAUUUCUUCUAAAGCUAAAUACUGGCCAGAGACCGAUAGCGCACAAGUAGAGUGAUCGAAAGAUGAAAAGCACUUUGGAAAGAGAGUCAAAUAGCACGUGAAAUUGUUGAAAGGGAAGCGCUUGCAGCCAGACUUGCCUGUAGUUGCUCAUCCGGGCUUUUGCCCGGUGCACUCUUCUAUAGGCAGGCCAGCAUCAGUUUGGGCGGUUGGAUAAAGGUCUCUGUCAUGUACCUCUCUUCGGGGAGGCCUUAUAGGGGAGACGACAUGCAACCAGCCUGGACUGAGGUCCGCGCAUUUGCUAGGAUGCUGGCGUAAUGGCUGUAAGCGGCCCGUCUUGAAACACGGACCAAGGAGUCUAACAUCUAUGCGAGUGUUUGGGUGUCAAGCCCGAACGCGUAAUGAAAGUGAACGGAGGUGGGAACCCUUACGGGCGCACCAUCGACCGAUCCUGAUGUCUUCGGAAGGAUUUGAGUAAGAGCAUGGCUGUUGGGACCCGAAAGAUGGUGAACUAUGCUUGAAUAGGGUGAAGCCAGAGGAAACUCUGGUGGAGGCUCGCAGCGGUUCUGACGUGCAAAUCGAUCGUCAAAUUUGGGCAUAGGGGCGAAAGACUAAUCGAACUAUCUAGUAGCUGGUUCCUGCCGAGU